rnacentral:misc_RNA from 1 species
ACCCGGCCUUUCUUCACUAGAAACUACAGAAAGUCACACUGAUGAGUAUUUCUUCAGUCAAAAGUAGAAACAGAAAAUAAAUGCAUGUGAAGACUAUUUCUUUUUCCUUUUUAACGAUAGAGCAGAAAUACUAUCCACAAGGCACUGCCAUUACUUGUUUGGUGCUUGAUAGAACAGCAAUCAUACUGUUGUAUAAUAGUGCCAAGUGGGGUCUAGCAUUUACAUUCCUAAUAAAAAACUUUAUGCACUGUGCAUCAAGCUGAUUACAUCUUGACUAAUUCAUAACUGCCCACAAUAAGAAUUAACUAUUAUUUAUCAUAAAAGACGACAUUUGACAAUGAUAGUAAAUGCUAAAAUUUGGAUUGAAUUGUUAUUGAGGGCCACCUCGAAACAAUUUCAGUGGCCCGUCCAUGGAUGACAAGAAACUAACACUUCUCCAUAUUCAUGCAGGUCAGGUAUCAGAAACUGUAACAGAAGCAUAAGCUUACAAUAUUUGUAGCAUUUGUUUCAGACACAUAACCAUCCUUGUCUAGCAUAAUUGCAUCACCUGCGUCUGCAUUAUUCCCUUCUAUCUGCUCCAGCCAAAUGAAAAACACAUUUUAAGCCAAGAAUCAACAGAAAUACAUAGCCAUGUCAAUUGGCUGGUCUGCUACCAUGGUAAUUAAAAUAAUAUAAACUACCCACAGAAAUUGUCCAGUUGACACAACCAAACAGAAUUUGUUAUCUUAGCCUAGUAGAAAAUAAAACCACUUCAUAUCACAUUUAAAUUUGGAAAUUACCUAUCCAGUAUGACUGUAAGAAUAAAUACGAAAACUGUGCAACAAAAUUUGCAUUAAACACAAGGGAAUAACAUAAUAU